rnacentral:rRNA from 1 species
UACGGAGGGUGCGAGCGUUGUUCGGAAUUACUGGGCGUAAAGCGCGUGCAGGCGGCCGACUAAGUCAGGUGUGAAAGCCCGGGGCUCACCUCCGGAAGUGCGCUUGAAACUGGUCGGCUAGAGUACGGGAGAGGGAAGCGGAAUUCCAGGUGUAGCGGUGAAAUGCGUAGAUAUCUGGAGGAACACCGGUGGCGAAGGCGGGUAGCUGGGCCGACACUGACGCUGAGGCGCGAAAGCCAGGGGAGCGAACGGG